rnacentral:lncRNA from 1 species
GGUUGGAGGACAGGCCAAUCGCUCCCGGCUAUUUGAGCCAAUGGAGAAGUUCCUGAUGCCCACACCUGCUGGUCUCACCGCCAGGGCCUGGGCAUCACAGGCAGGGGGAAUGGGGAGGGGACGGUAGCGUCAGCCUACACCCACACGCAGUUUCCUGAUAAAAGGUCCUUUGGAAACUUUGAUUCUCUUCUCACCAAGUUGAACGGAGAUGUGUUCCCAUAGUAAGAGUGAGGCCCCUGCAUUUGCUGCCCUCGGUUUUCCCAACUAACACCAUGGCCUCCCCCCUGUACCCCAUUCAUACGCCUCAGAAGCUGACAAUGACUGUUGGGCUUUUCCAACGAAUACCAGAACACCAUUUCCUGCAGCCUGAAAAGAAGACAGUAUAAUUAUUUGGCAGCAAGAGGCCAAGCAGGAAACUAGAGAUAUGGUGAUGGUAGUGGUCCCAAGGAGGAGCUUUAACCUGAGCACCACCCACAGAAGGCAGACCACCCUCCCAGCCGCAGUGCAAAUGAAUGUUGGCCCCCACCCAGGUCCUCAAGUG